rnacentral:lncRNA from 1 species
AGCCCAGAGACUUGAGAAAAACAAAAAUUAAGAUCCAAACAGUUUGGGCUUCACACCAAGAACGUUGGAAAUAAAGCCUCAGCCCAAAGAAAGCCCAGAUGUGGAAACUUUCGAAAUGGACUUCAAAAGAUCAGCCCGUAAUUUUCGAUAGAUUCAAAACCAAGGGAUCAAAGACACACCCACGUGAUUGCCUCAGCUUUGGAAAAGUCAGCAUUUUCAACUAAAAUUUAAAAAUGUGAGAGGGACGUCUCUGAAACACUGCCAAUUGAAGAUCAAAAACCCAUCUGUGUUCAAGAUUUUGCUCCAAAUCAAUACACCAUCUCCCAAGAAAUUCACAGAUCACGCUUUCUAAAUUAGAACGGGAAACAGGGAACCACUCAGAAAAUACAAAAGAAAAAGAGCCAAAACCGCCAUAAAAAGCCCACACAGACGGUGGCGUUGGUUGAAUUAGAAAGCUGCCACCCAGAAAACCAGGGAAGGGACUGUUUUUAGGAGGUGACUGCUCAGAACCUAUCUAAAAAACCCUUCUUACUUUACAUUAUAAGAGAUCUUUUUGCCGCCCAUUAUUUAAAAGAUUAAAAAUGACCUCCUUAGGAGGAUCUCUUAUAAAAGCGAAAGAAGGCAAAGAAACAAAG